rnacentral:rRNA from 1 species
AGGACGAACGCUGGCGGCGUGCUUAACACAUGCAAGUCGAGCGGAAAGGCCCUUCGGGGUACUCGAGCGGCGAACGGGUGAGUAACACGUGAGCAACCUGCCCUUAGCUUCGGGAUAGCUCCGGGAAACCGGAAUUAAUACCGGAUAUGACUAUGGCCGACAUCAGCCAUGGUGGAAAGUUUUUCGGCUAGGGAUGGACUCGCGGCCUAUCAGCUAGUUGGUGAGGUAACGGCUCACCAAGGCGACGACGGGUAGCCGGCCUGAGAGGGCGACCGGCCACACUGGGACUGAGACACGGCCCAGACUCCUACGGGAGGCAGCAGUGGGGAAUAUUGCGCAAUGGGCGAAAGCCUGACGCAGCGACGCCGCGUGGGGGAUGAAUGCCUUCGGGUUGUAACCCUUUCAGCAGGGACGAAGCGAAGUGACGGUACCUGCAGAAGAAGCGCCGGCUAACUACGCGCCAGCAGCCGC